rnacentral:rRNA from 1 species
UACGAGAGGCCCAAACGUUAUUCGGAUUUACUGGGCUUAAAGAGUCCGUAGGCGGCGCAGAAAGUGGGGUGUGAAAUCCCUCGGCUCAACCGAGGAAUUGCGCUCCAAACUCCUGCGCUUGAGGAAUCUAGAGGUGAGCAGAACAGAUGGUGGAGCGGUGAAAUGCGUUGAUAUCAUCUGGAAUACCGGAGGCGAAGGCGGCUCACUGGGGAUUUUCUGACGCUGAGGGACGAAAGCCAGGGUAGCGAACGGG